GAGUGCAGGGAUUAAAGGCAUGCACCACCACUGCCUGACUCAGAGGUGGGUUUCUCAACAGGACUAAUAGGGUAAAGGGGAGUGCUUAUAGAAUACCCAAGUCAGAGUGAUUUAGGACUCCCAGCCUUAGAGCCUUAGAGCUCUGCCCAUCCCAAAGGUUUAAAUCUGAUAACUUUUUUUUUCUUGGUAACUUGGUCUUCCAUCUUCUUUGGAAGUUUAAUUCCUUUUCUGUGCCAAGGAAUGACCACCAGCACCCCAUUUACUGAAUGUGACCAAGGAAGUUACUUCUAAGCUACACAGAGAGAGAGAGAGGGGGAGAGAGAGAGAGAGAGAGAGAGAGAGAGAGAGAGAGAGAGAGAGAGAGAGGUUAUGGGGCCUGAGGAUAGUGUUUUACAAUUAUUACAAACAACUUUUCAGAGAGCAUGUCCUUGAAAUGGAUUAUGACAUGGGGUCUUCCACAGUACGAAGUCACAAAGAGAAUCUCCGGUCACUCUUAAGUGGAAGAAAACACACCGCCGCGUGACGAUUGCGGUCCAACGCCCAUGGGACGUUUGCAUUGUCUUCACAGGGAGUAUUGCAGCAUCGCUUUCGCUUGUUUCCAGCUGUGUUCAUCAUGACUGUAAUUGCAUGAGUCUGAGGAAGUGCGCUUGUCCCCAGGAAGCGUGACGCCACAUUCUGGCCACCGCACCCUGCAGUCUUCCCACCCUCUGCCUGGACUGUUUGUAGAGCGUAGCCCAGAGCCUUGCAUUUGCCGCCUCUAGUGGCGAAGCAGAU
rnacentral:lncRNA from 1 species